UAUUAUAUUUGUUGCUGUUGUGUAGACUAUUUGCCAAAUAAUAUACAAAAGUCUUACAUCAGCUUUGGGAUAAAAGUAACCUGGGGCAUGAGUGACUGCACGUGUCAAACAUUUGUGACAAGAACAUGCGCAUGGAGAAUUUCCGAAAAGCAACUGCUGUUGGCAAAAGCGGGGCUGACCUCACUAUUAGCUAACACGCCACUAGACUUUACUUUGUCAGUCUGGUUUUUUAAGUUUGUAUACAUAAUUUUCUGGAAAAUCAUCAUGGCCCCCUUCACUAGAAUGUGGAGAGAGGGGUCAUCAAAACUAUCUACUUCAAAAAGUUGGCUUGAACAGCCAACCGUUCUUUUCUGAUGUCGAGAUAACAGUCUACAAACAUAACUAAACACUGAGAGAGGUCAAGAGUCUUUGACAAGAACUGCACAUGGCUAGGCAAGAGCUGGUGGGACAACUGGAACCGAAUGUUGAUUAGGGUUGGGGGACGUUAGUGACAUCAUCACGUGACUUAUGACAGUAAAUACACAGUGGCAUUCACAGACUGACCUACAGCAAUAAAUUUAUCGUUCUCUAUACAGGGUGUGUACUGCAAGAAACAGGGAAAGGGGUGCUCAUGGAGCUCACUUACAUUUUGGAUACAAAAUAAUGCAAUCUUGUAGGGACCCCGCCCGGUGGGUGGGCAGGUUGUUCAUGAAUAAUGGAUGACCUCAGCUACUCAGUGUUGUUGUCAAAGUAAAGCUGCAAAAAAAAAAAAAGUAUUUAAAGAUUUCGGAUUGAAUUCAUGCUGCAAAGUUCGUUAAAAUGGCGAGGUAAGUGUUUUUCUACUGAAAACCAAACUGUAAGCUUAUAAGUGAGGUGCAACAAAUAAAGGAAAGAGGGUGCGGGUCUUCCACUAAAAGGGCAAUGUUCGAAUAUAUAUAUAUCCCCUUUUAUGAGAAUUAGCAACAUACUUGUUACUUCACAUUGUAGUAAGCUCUACAAAUGUAUAUUUUUAAUGAGUGUAUAGUUUUCCUUUGCAUUGUUGUCUCACGUGAUGUCUAAACAUAGCACACAGUCACACAGAUUUCUCAGAAAUGUUCUAGGACAUUAUAGUCUCAACAAGAGGCCAGACGAGAUUAUAAAAGUUUAAAAGCCAACAGUGUUGAAUCAUUCCUUCUUGAUCGUGAUCACGUAGCCUUUAGAAACAUAAAAGCCUCGGUGCCUAUACAAACAUUUCUAUUUCAUGUCCUUCACUUGUUCUGGAGCUGGUCCAAAGUCCCUGCUUGAUAAUUUACAUGUCUGACCGUCGUGCAGAAAAGGAGACAAAGUCUAUUCAAACAGUCACCGACUGCAGAAAGAAAAAGGGAGGUCUCCCUACAGAGGCCCCUAUUAUUAUCUAGACUGUUUGAAGUAGUUUCCUGCCCUUCGCUGCUACUGGAAUUCUUCUUUUGGAAGGAACACUUGUGCAUAAAUUAGACGAGAAGUUGUUGGCUCAAACUACCUGAAACACCUGUCAUCAUGUUUUUGAGAAACAAAAUAGCAUCAGGUCUGCUUUGCUUGCUUCCAGAAACAAAUGAGAAGAGCAUUUCCUCCCAAAGUUUUCAUCACCCAGCCUACCAUUAUCGUUAUUAAAAACCUGUGCAGUCACAAAGUUGCUUCCCUUCCUGAGGUUGUUCCUAUUCUUGGAAGACGGUUCACCGGGACAAGUAACCAGUCCAUCACUUGGUUGUCUCCCGUGCAAGGGUCUCCCAGGCCCUGAGUGUCGACGCUACCCUCUUUCUUCUUGUCGGGUACCAGGAACUUCCAGAGACACAAGACCUGGUGCCAGCGAACCCGUGUGAAAUCGAGGCUCUGACGCUGCCGUGACGUCACGAAGCAGGCGGUUGCGUUUCCUUUGACUGAGGGAAGAAAGGUGAAGGUCGGCGUCUGGGACAAGAUGGUGGCGCUUCAAGUCGGACUCAUGAUCCUGGGUGCGGUUGUGAUCUUUAUAAUGAUCUUUGUCACGUGCAAACUGUUUUUCAUUGGCAACGACUUCAAAAUGCGUCUACGUCUACGUGGUUUGAUUUUUUGAAUGGCUCGCUGAUGAUGGAAAUGUAAUGUCAAUAUAAAUGAGAAGGUUUAGUGAUGUUUAAUAGCAAAGCUAGAAAUAGCUUAGUGCUCAUGAGUUUGUGCACCGAUGUGUCUUUGCACGUGUGAUGCCCUGAGAACUAUCGUGCAAAUAAAGAAAGAUAAGAAAAUGUAGCCGGGCUCGCUCACACACUGUACCACAGUCAUUUAUCUUCCCUUGUGCUCACACAUUCAUUCUGCCAAUGUGAUUGUCAGGUACACACGCAUGUACACGCACGCACACACACAUGCAUACACAUACAUGAACAGACACACGCGCAUACACAUACAUGCACACACACACACUACUCUUUCUCCCCAUCAAAAUACUGCUUGAAUCCUCCGCCAUUUUGAAACUCACUAUUUUACUUCUCGAACCUUCUGGAAUCUCAUUUUUUAUUCUGCGUAUUUGCUGUCUUUAUAUACUUAAUUCUGAAGAAUGUGUUCAAUCUACCGAAAAUUGUUCAAAUGUACUGACUGUGCAAUGUUUGUAUUAUGGGGUUAGUUGGAAAAAAUUUACUUGUGAGAAGUCCGCAGUUUUCUGAAGUAUGAAGAUUACAGGUCAUCACAAUUGUGUGAUUUAGUGAUUUUAAUAAUGUGUUUAGGAUUCCGGUGUUAUCACAUCUUCUGGUGAAGAAAAUCUUUUUUAAUUAACUCAGAGAUAUGCUGUGAAAAUUAUUUUCUGCCGUUUACAUGUAUAUGUGUGUAUGUGUGCAAAGUACACAGCCGAAGCAAAUAAUAUAUCAUCAAAAAACUCCUUAGUAAAGAAUGAAUAAGUAGAGUAGAGAUAAAUUAAUGUUUUGUGCUACAGUGGUCAGUUCUAUAUAGAUGGCAAUAUUUGAAACGAAACAGAGCUGAUACAUACAAGAUAGGUAGUGAGUGUAUGGGUGUGAAUGUGUAAAGUUUCAGUGUGUUGUAAGUUGCUUUUUAUAUUACAGGUAUGCAUAUAUCCACCAUGUCAAAAUGACUAUGAGCCAUUGAUAUUAAAGUGUGUCAUGUA